GAUGAACGCUGGCUGUGUGCCUAAUACAUGCAUGUUGAACGAAGCAGUAUUUAUAUUGACUUAGUAGCGAAUGGGUGAGUAACACGUACCUAACCUACCUUUAAGAUUGGGAUAACUACUGGAAACAGUUGCUAAUACCAAAUAACAAAUUUUUUCGCAUGAAAAAAUUUUAAAAGAAGCAUAAGAGGUAACUCCGCUUCACUUAAAAAUGGGGGUGCGGAACAUUAGCUAGUUGGUAGAGUAAUGGCCUACCAAGGCGAUGAUGUUUAGCCGGGCCGAGAGGCUGUACGGCCACACUGGGACUGAGAUACGGCCCAGACUCCUACGGGAGGCAGCAGUAGGGAAUUUUCCACAAUGAGCGAAAGCUUGAUGGAGCGACACAGCGUGCAGGAUGAAGGCCUUCGGGUUGUAAACUGCUGUGGUAAGGAAAGAAAAAAUAGGGUAGGAAAUGACCCUUAAUUGACGGUACCUUAUUAGAAAGCGAUGGCUAACUAUGUGCCAGCAGCCGCGGUAAUACAUAGGUCGCAAGCGUUAUCCGGAAUUAUUGGGCGUAAAGAGUUCGUAGGUGGUUUGUUAAGUCUGAAGUUAAAUCCAAAAGCUCAACUUUUGCCCGCUUUAGAUACUAGCAAACUGGAAUUGCAAAGAGGUUAGCGGAAUUCCUAGUGAAGCGGUGGAAUGCGUAGAUAUUAGGAAGAACACCAAUAGGCGAAGGCAGCUAACUGGUUGUAUAUUGACACUGAGGAACGAAAGCGUGGGGAGCAAACAGGAUUAGAUACCCUGGUAGUCCACGCCGUAAACGAUGAUCAUUAGUUGGUAGAAAAAUUUACCGAUGCAGCUAACGCAUUAAAUGAUCCGCCUGAGUAGUAUACUCGCAAGAGUGAAACUUAAAGGAAUUGACGGGGACCCGCACAAGCGGAGGAGCAUGUGGUUUAAUUUGAAGAUACGCGUAGAACCUUACCCACUCUUGACAUCCCUUGCAAAGUUAUAGAGAUAUAAUGGAGGCUAACAAGGUGACAGAUGGUGCAUGGUUGUCGUCAGCUCGUGUCGUGAGAUGUUAGGUUAAGUCCUGCAACGAGCGCAACCCUUGUCUUUAGUUACUAACAUUAAGUUGAGAACUCUAGAGAGACUGCCAACGAAAGUUGGAGGAAGGUGGGGACGACGUCAAAUCAUCAUGCCUCUUACGAGUGGGGCAACACACGUGCUACAAUGGUUGGUACAAAGAGAUGCGACAUAGUGAUAUCAAGCAAAUCUCAAAAAACCAAUCUCAGUUCGGAUUGAAGUCUGCAACUCGACUUCAUGAAGUCGGAUUCGCUAGUAAUCGCAGAUCAGCUAUGCUGCGGUGAAUACGUUCUCGGGUCUUGUACACACCGCCCGUCACACCAUGGGAGUUGGUAAUACCCGAAGAUGGUUAGUUAACCUCGGAGGCAACUAUCUAAGGUAGGACUGAUGACUGGGGUGAAG
rnacentral:rRNA from 2 species